rnacentral:rRNA from 1 species
UACGUAGGUGGCAAGCGUUGUCCGGAUUUAUUGGGCUUAAAGGGUGCGUAGGCGGUCUUCUAAGUCAGUUGUGAAAUCCUUCAGCUUAACUGGAGAGGUGCAAUUGAUACUGGAAGACUUGAGUACUGAUGAGGUAGGCGGAAUGGACGGUGUAGCGGUGAAAUGCGCAGAUAUCGGGAAGAACACCCGUGGCGAAGGCGGCUCUCUGGGACGGUACUGACGCUGAGACGCGAAAGCGUGGGGAGCGAACAGG